CGUCCGCGUCCCCGCCGCCGGCGGACCCGGUGUGUCGCGAUAGCGGGCCGUCCGCGGAGCGGUGGGUCGGGUGGGAGCUGCGCGGCCGCUUACGGCCUCCGCCUCUGCUCGCCCUGCCCGCGCGUUUCUAACGGGAGGCUUAAGGCCGUGGAAGGCUUCGGCUUUUAGCAGUGAGAGUCCAUAUCAGAUAACUGGUGCUAACCCCUGAGGAGUCUACAAGCUAUUCAUAAACCCUGUGAUACACUAUGUUCCACAAGAACUGUGAGUGAGAGACAAGGUGUUCUCCCAUGAAUUCCAGCAGAGAGACGUGAUGAAAGAAAUUUGAGAAAAGACUUAGUCAACAUAAGUAGCUGAGCUGCUGCGGGUCAAACGUUACAACUGUCAGGCCUUGCAGCCAAAGAAAGAAGGAUCAAGGUGAGGUCUUGGAUUCUCCAGCUGGAUCUAUUGAGAAGAGGGUGGGAUGUGUGGCAUGGGGAUAAAUGAAGAAAUGGAUUGCAGAGGGAAGGAUAGGUGGAUCUUCCAGGAAUUAGUUGGGAAGGGAGUUUUGGAAGAACGUGAUGUCUUUCCAGUGUAGGAUGAGGCAGGCUGAAGAUUGAGGAAAGCAGUAGAGGGAGGGGUCAUGUGUUCAUUGUCCCUUAACUGAACUGGUGUACUGGCUUUGUGAACUUCCUAAGAGGUCCCUGGCUAUCUAUAUUGGGGUGGAGUUUAAGUAAGGUAGGGGAAGACUCUCUGUUUUCUUUAGGAAAGAUUAACUACCUAGCUGGGAGCAAGGAAGGGAGAACAGUAAGUUCCCAUGAUAAAUAAAGGCCAUCUGGACAAAAAGCAAGAGGCAAAAAGUGUAAGCGCCAGAGUAUAUGUUGUCCCAGUGCACUGUCUGUAAGGUUGUGGAAGGCUAACGGUGCUGCUGGAGGUGUAAAUACUAGGAAGCAAGGGAAUGACUGUACCUAUGCUUUGAGGAGCUGGUAAAGGGCCUUUCCUUUCCUCCCAGGUCCCAGAUCUGUGGGAGCAUGAGUAGACGUGAAAUGACGUGACUGAUUUGGUAGUUAGUUGGUCAAAACAUAAGAAAACCUCCUUCUCGGUGUGCCUCUAGCCUAGAGGAAACCUCUGCUGCUUGCUAGUGCAGACACAGGAUGAUACUAUGCACACAUAAUUGGUGAGCCACUUGGUGACAUUUGGAUUUACUGGAAUAAGCAUGCUGUAACGAAGAACCAGUGUAAUAACCCCAGGCAUAGUUGGACAGGGAACUUCUCAUCUACCAUGUUAAAAGACAAUAUGGUAUUUAUGAGCUCAGUCUUCUGGGUUUUCUAGCAGUUGCUUGUUUGAGACAAAUAAGUAUGAUGGAUUUGGAAUAGGAACACUUAUAGGGAGGCAAAUCUAGCCUUCAAGCAAUGUCAGUCCUCAGAUGUACCAUGCAAAACCGCCUGAAAACAAUCAACAGACCUGUUCUUGAUGUCUUGUCGAUUUAACUUGUUAAUGGGAACAUAGUGACUUCAUUUAAAAAUGGGAAUGUUCCAUCUGGUUAGACACUUCAAGAGUCUUUAUACAUGUGACUUCUCACCAUCAACAUCCUCUCUACAUGACCUACUUCCCCUACAAUGCAUCCCUGAUGAGUUCCUCUUCAAAACAACUGAAACACCUUUCUUCACUGUUGUUUACUUUCAUUAGCUGCUGGAUUGACCCCCAAGGUAAACGUUUUGCAAACUACCAGCAUAAUAAAUGCCACCUUGACCAAACACCUGUCCUGGGUUUUACUCAUCGUUGUGACCACAGUCACAAAGUUCCUUUGCUAGGGCUGCUUCUUCUAAUAUCACCAAAGGGAAAAUACGAAACCGUCUGAUUGUAUUACAGAUUAUAUGGGGACAGGGAUGCAAAGUAUAUGACAGCAACUGACAGGAAGAAAGAACUAUGCUUACAAAUCAAAUAUGAGUCUAGUUUUGCCACUGCAUGCUUAUCCCAAUGAAUAAAUGUCUUUUCACACUGGAGAUAGGAAGUCAUACACUUCCUUUUGGUAAGCUUAAGAGGCAACCUAGACUGGCAUUACCUUUUGGACCAACCGAGAAGAGAGAGCGCAACAUUUGAAAGACUGCCAUUUGAGGUUUUUUAAAUACUUGGAGCCAUGCUAUAAACCAAACUGUAGUAAAGUGUCUAAUUUUUUAAGCAUGCUGUCAUCUGUAUGUCUGCAUUCUGGUUGCUUGCUAGACAAUCUAUGAUAUAAACAUGGAGGUUAGCCUGAUACUACCAUAUUACUCAGGAGUAAGCACUGCUUUUUUUCCUAAUAGAAAAAAGAGAUUUAUUAAAAUUUAGUGAUUGGAAUGACUUUGUUGUAGUCUUUUUCUAAUGAUGUUUCUUUCAUUAAUCUAUC